rnacentral:rRNA from 1 species
GAUGAACGCUAGCGGCAGGCCUAAUACAUGCAAGUCGAACGGCGUCUUCGGACAUAGUGGCGCACGGGUGCGUAACACGUAUGCAACCUACCUUACAUUGGGGGAUAGCCUUUCGAAAGGGAGAUUAAUACCGCAUAAGACAGUAGCUGGGCAUCCAGCAGCUGUUAAAGAUUUAUCGAUGUAAGCUGGGCAUGCGUCCAAUUAGCUAGUUGGUGAGGUAACGGCUCACCAAGGCAAUGAUUGGUAGGGGAACUGAGAGGUCAAUCCCCCACACUGGCACUGAGAUACGGGCCAGACUCCUACGGGAGGCAGCAGUAGGGAAUAUUGGGCAAUGGACGCAAGUCUGACCCAGCCAUGCCGCGUGCAGGAUGAAGGCGUUAUGCGUUGUAAACUGCUUUUAUACAGGAAGAAACGACUCUUGCGAGAGGCAUUGGCGGUACUGUAUGAAUAAGCACCGGCUAACUCCGUGCCAGCAGCCGCGGUAAAAC